GACGAACGCUGGCGGCGUGCCUAACACAUGCAAGUCGAACGGAGAUACGAUCUCGGUUGUAUCUUAGUGGCGAACGGGUGAGUAACGCGUGAGCAACCUGACUCUUAGAGGGGGAUAACACUGGGAAACGAGUGCUAAUACCGCAUAAGACCACGACAUGGCAUCGUGACGAGGUCAAAGGAGCAAUCCGCUGAGAGAGGGGCUCGCGUCCCAUUAGAUAGAUGGCGGGGUAACGGCCCACCAUGUCAACGAUGGGUAGCCGAGCUGAGAGGGUGAUCGGCCACACUGGAACUGAGACACGGUCCAGACUCCUACGGGAGGCAGCAGUGGGGAAGAUUGGGCAAUGGGCGCAAGCCUGACCCAGCAACGCCGCGUGAGGGAAGAAGGCUUUCGGGUUGUAAACCUCUGUCCUUGGUGACGAAAAAAAUGACGGUAGCCAAGGAGGAAGCCCCGGCUAACUACGUGCCAGCCGCCGCCGUAA
rnacentral:rRNA from 1 species